AUAUUGUGCAUACCGGGAGGGUGAGAACCCUCGACCGGGUUCGACAAAACGCCCUGGCGUUUUGCACCGCCGCAGGCGGCCCGUAGGGUGAGCGCAGCGAAUGUAUCCCUUCCUCACCGCCA
rnacentral:sRNA from 1 species